ACUUAAAUAGUUUAAUAAAAAAUUUUAAUUUGUGGGAUUAAGGAUACAGAAAUUUUGUUUUAAGUA
rnacentral:tRNA from 1 species